rnacentral:rRNA from 1 species
GACGAACGCUGGCGGCGCGCCUAACACAUGCAAGUCGAACGGACUUUAUGGAAACUGAGGCUUCGGCGGACGAAGAAAUAAAGUUAGUGGCGAACGGGUGAGUAACACGUGAGGAACCUACCUCCCAGAGGGGGAUAACACUUAGAAAUAGGUGCUAAUACCGCAUAAGACCACGACCGGGCAUCCGGAUGAGGUCAAAGGAGCAAUCCGCUGAGAGAUGGCCUCGCGUCCGAUUAGGUAGUUGGUGGGGUAACGGCCUACCAAGCCGACGAUCGGUAGCCGGACUGAGAGGUUGAUCGGCCACAUUGGGACUGAGACACGGCCCAG